AUUGAACGCUGGCGGCAGGCCUAACACAUGCAAGUCGAGCGGAUGAAGGGAGCUUGCUCCUGGAUUCAGCGGCGGACGGGUGAGUAAUGCCUAGGAAUCUGCCUGGUAGUGGGGGAUAACGUCCGGAAACGGGCGCUAAUACCGCAUACGUCCUGAGGGAGAAAGUGGGGGAUCUUCGGACCUCACGCUAUCGGAUGAGCCUAGGUCGGAUUAGCUAGUUGGUGGGGUAAAGGCCUACCAAGGCGACGAUCCGUAACUGGUCUGAGAGGAUGAUCAGUCACACGGGAACUGAGACACGGUCCAGACUCCUACGGGAGGCAGCAGUGGGGAAUAUUGGACAGUGGGCGAAAGCCUGAUCCAGCCAUGCCGCGUGUGUGAAGAAGGUCUUCGGAUUGUAAAGCACUUUAAGUUGGGAGGAAGGGCAGUAAGUUAAUACCUUGCUGUUUUGACGUUACCAACAGAAUAAGCACCGGCUAACUUCGUG
rnacentral:rRNA from 1 species